GCUGGCGGCGUGCCUAAUACAUGCAAGUCGAGCGAGAAAAGGGUUUCGGCCCCGAGUAAAGCGGCGAACGGGUGAGUAACACGUGGGCAACCUGCCUCAAGGACUGGGAUAACUCCGGGAAACCGGGGCUAAUACCGGACGAUGUCGUCUCUCGCAAGUGAGUCGACCAAAGGUAGCUUCGGCCUCCGCCUUGAGAUGGGCCCGCGUCCUAUCAGCUUGUUGGUGAGGUAAUGGCUCACCAAGGCUACGACGGGUAGCUGGUCUGAGAGGAUGAUCAGCCACACUGGGACUGAGAUACGGCCCAGACUCCUACGGGAGGCAGCAGUAGGGAAUCUUGCGCAAUGGGCGAAAGCCUGACGCAGCAACGCCGCGUGAGCGAGGAAGGCCUUCGGGUUGUAAAGCUCUGUCAGGGGGAAAGAAGGCACCUGGGUUAAUAGCCCAAGGGUUGACGGUACCCCCAAAGGAAGCCACGGCUAACUACGUGCCAGCAGCCGCGGUAAUACGUAGGUGGCGAGCGUUGUCCGGAAUCAUUGGGCGUAAAGCGCGCGUAGGUGGCUUGUCAGGUCCGAUGUGAAAUUCUGGGGCUCAACUCCAGGCGUGCAUCGGAAACC
rnacentral:rRNA from 1 species